UACGUAGGGUCCGAGCGUUGUCCGGAAUUAUUGGGCGUAAAGAGCUCGUAGGCGGUUUGUCGCGUCUGCUGUGAAAUCCCGAGGCUCAACCUCGGGUCUGCAGUGGGUACGGGCAGACUGGAGUGCGGUAGGGGAGAAUGGAAUUCCUGGUGUAGCGGUGGAAUGCGCAGAUAUCAGGAGGAACACCGAUGGCGAAGGCAGUUCUCUGGGCCGUAACUGACGCUGAGGAACGAAAGCUAGGGGAGCAAACAGG
rnacentral:rRNA from 1 species